CAGAGAGAUGGAGAGAGAGAGAUCUCAAGCCUUCAAUAAACCCUGCAGUGAGGCACAACAGCGAUCCUGUAAGAGAGCAGUGCAGAACGGGCUGUUAUAAAUCUCAGCUGAGGCUUGAGGCCUGCCAUAACCUGGGAGUCACAAAGGGAGAGACCCUGAGAGAGAGCAGUAGAAUAUUAAUCAGCAGCGAGGAUCAAGGCCAACUGGGACUUGGAGUUGGAGAAACAGCAGAGCAGGAGGCUCGAAAUCAACAGGGAGUGACCAUGUGAGGGAGCAACAUGGAGCCGGAGCUUGAGGCUCACUCACGUCUCGGAGUUUCAAGGCCCUCGUUUCUGGAUCGUGAAUUUCUGAAAAUUCUCAGGUUUCCACUCUGACUGAAAUUCUUCUGAAGCCACUUCCUAUGAUUAA